rnacentral:rRNA from 1 species
UAACACAUGCAAGCGAGCGGAGUAUCAGUGGAAGCUCGGCCGGAAGGCAGAUAACUAGCGGCGGACGGGUGAGUAACGCGUGAGCAACCUGUCCUCUACAGGGGGAUAAGACAGCGAAAGUUGUUCUAAUACCGCAUAAGACCACGCAGUCGCAUGGCUGAGGGGUCAAAGGAGCAAUCCGGUAGAGGGUGGGCUCGCGUCCGAUUAGAUAGUUGGUGAGGUAACGGCCCACCAAGUCAACGAUCGGUAGCCGACCUAAGAGGGUGAUCGGCCACAUUGGGACUGAGACACGGCCCAGACUCCUACGGGAGGCAGCAGUGGGGAAUAUUGGGCAAUGGGGCGAAAGCCUGACCCAGCAACGCCGCGUGGAGGAAGAAGGUCUUCGGAUCGUAAACUCCUGUCCUAAAGGACGAGAGGAAGACGGUACUUUAGGAGGAAGCCCCGGCUAACUACGUGCCAGCAGCGGC